CUGACCCCAACCUCGCUACCACCUCCUUUGAGGGAGUUGUAGAGAGUGGUGGGGUCUCU
ensembl:miRNA gga-mir-12276 gga-mir-12276